rnacentral:rRNA from 1 species
GGGCCCGCACAAGCGGUGGAGUAUGUGGUUUAAUUCGAUGCAACGCGAAGAACCUUACCAGGGUUUGACAUCCUGCGAAUCUCUUGGAAACGAGAGAGUGCCCUUCGGGAGCGCAGUGACAGGUGGUGCAUGGCUGUCGUCAGCUCGUGUCGUGAGAUGUUGGGUUAAGUCCCGCAACGAGCGCAACCCACGUCUUUAGUUGCCAGCAUUUAGUUGGGCACUCUAGAGAGACCGCCGGUGAUAAACCGGAGGAAGGUUGGAUGACGUCAAGUCAUCAUCCCCUUACAUCCUGGGCUACACACGUACUACAAUGGUAGUGACAAUGGGUUAAUCCCCAAAAAAGCUAUCUCA